UCUAAGCCUUAAAAGAUUGACCAAAUUACAGAAAUAACGGGUUUACGGAAUUAUUAGACCCGUUAUUGCUGCAAUUUAGUUCCAGAAUCUCCGCUACGAGUCGCCACUAUAUUUAACGAGAAACUGAGGUUGUGGAUAUGGAAACCGAUGGAGUCAGAGGUUUUGUAACGUCUUUCGACGGUCCGAUCCUCACACGCAUAUAGUUGUGGUUUAUACGCAGAUUAACACAACUGUAUCGAUCGCACAGUUCGGGGAAAGAACCCUUUCAUGGUCUCGGGUGAAGCAAUGGUGUAAUGCAUUUCAAAAAGGACGCUUAUGGCCGCGACACUUAUAACGACACGCUGCAAAUGAGAUGUCACGCCUCGUUCUACCCUCACAAAAGUUCUCAUCAGGAUCGGACGACAGUUAUAAUGCGAACAACUGUCAAGACGAAUCACCGAUAGACAAGAUUCCGGUAAUCAUCGAUCAAACAAUGGCAUAGCAGCAGGGACAGCUCUGAUAGUGGUAGAAUGCACAAUGAAAUUAGCGCGCGUGGACGAGCGAUCAAACGAGGAAUAGGAACAUCUUGACGAACAUUAAACGAGAGGACGAGAAAGAACGUAUCGGAGCGGGAGCCUGAGUUAGCCUGAUUAGCCUCGGCUAAUAUGAAAAAUAAUAUUUCUACGUUGAUUUUAUAUAUUUUAUAAUAUCUAGAAAUAUUAUAUUAUCAAGUAAAUU